GUCCACCUGUGUGCGAGGCUAAGGAGCACAUGUAUUAUUGAGCUCUCCCUGUAAUUGACUCUGUGUGCCAGAGAGGGAGAAGCGGUCGCCUUUUGAUCCACUGAUUAUUUCUUCUCACUACAGUAAAGGAAAGUGCUAAAUCUCACCGAAGAGUGGUCGUGUGGUCUCUGUGUGUGUGAGGGUGACCUGUCCAGACAUGCUACAUAAAUUUGGUGCCGUGACCCGGAUUCGCCAGAUCUGCAGUAGCUGAUCGCUGGGGUUUGACAACGCCGAAUCACAACGCUUCUGAAAUCAUCGGACAAAGACUCUUCAUCGUUGACGUUUUGCUGGUGGUGUCUGGACGUGGAACUGAGUAACUGAACUCUCGCUUUACAUUACUCACACAUUGGACUUUACACUUUGCGCAUAUUUGAAGGUUUCCUUUUUUUUUUAUUUGUUUUCUUUAUUUCUGUAUUUAAAAGUGAAUAACAGUGAAGUCAUUU